rnacentral:rRNA from 1 species
UACGUAGGGUGCGAGCGUUGUCCGGAAUUAUUGGGCGUAAAGAGCUCGUAGGCGGUGUGUCACGUCGUUCGUGAAAACCUGCAGCUUAACUGUGGGCGUGCGGUCGAUACGGGCAUCACUGGAGUUCGGCAGGGGAGACUGGAAUUCCUGGUGUAGCGGUGAAAUGCGCAGAUAUCAGGAGGAACACCGGUGGCGAAGGCGGGUCUCUGGGCCGUAACUGACGCUGAGGGGCGAAAGCGUGGGGAGCGAACAGG